rnacentral:rRNA from 7 species
AUGACUCUCGGCAACGGAUAUCUCGGCUCUUACAUCGAUGAAGAACGUAGCAAAAUGCGAUACUUGGUGUGAAUUGCAGAAUCCCGUGAACCAUCGAGUCUUUGAACGCAAGUUGCGCCCGAACCCUUCGGGUUGAGGGCACGUCUGCCUGGGUGUCACG